rnacentral:rRNA from 1 species
UACGUAGGGUGCGAGCGUUAAUCGGAAUUACUGGGCGUAAAGCGCGCGUAGGCGGGUCUGUAAGUUGAUUGUGAAAUCCCUGGGCUUAACCUGGGACGUGCAGUCAAAACUGCAGAUCUUGAAUGUCUGAGAGGAUGGCGGAAUUCCCGGUGUAGUAGUGAAAUACGUAGAUAUCGGGAAGAACACCUGAGGCGAAGGCGGCUAUCUGGCGGCA